AUGAAAAUCUUAAUUUGAAACUGUCGAGGGUCGGGUCAACCUCGUACAGUUCAAGAGCUCGUGUGUCUUUCUAAGAUGCACCGACCAAAUGUUAUCUUCCUUUCAGAGACAAGGAAAAAUAAAUAAUAUGUUGAAUGUUUGCAUUAUCCUUUGGGUAUGAAAAAUGUGUUUACUGUAGCAGGUCAAGGUAAAGGUGGAGGUCUCGCGGUAUUCUGGGACGAG
rnacentral:rRNA from 1 species